GUUGCCCAGGCCAGCCUUGAACUUGUGACUCUUGUGCCUUAUCCUCUGGAGCAGCUGGGAUUAUAGGCUUGAGGCCCUGCUUCCUUUGGCUGCUGCUGAUGUACCCUGUGCAUGUAUUCUUGCUGGUUCACUUACAUCUGCAUGCCAUUCACUCAGGCCAGGGGCAGAUGACAAAAGUCUCUCUGCACUGGCAGCUGAAUAGAAAUUCCAAAGGGACUUAUUUAUCCACGACGCCUCUCGAAGCAUUCCAGCAAAGAGCAAUUGUGGAGUGUGACAUAAAUGCAUCAAAAAGAAAGCCAGACUGGGUGGCAGUGCCUGUUGUCUCAGCUACCUGGGAGGCUGAGGCAGGAGAAUCACUUGAGCCCUGAGUUCAAAGCCAGCUGAGGCAACACAGCAAGACCCCAUCUCAGAAUAAAAGAAAGCACACUGAGAAAUAGAGGACAAGCUAACAAACAUUCUGACCUUCCUCAUCAUCUGUGAACAUCUCGAGGCACCGAGCGGGGAGGCUCCGUAUUUGCAGAGGGUGCCAGGCUCACUGGCUGCUGGUUUUGAAGGCGCAGCAGCAAGCACUGGUGGUCUCAGCGCCUUCUCCCAUGGGUGGUCCUGGGCUGGCACCCAUCCUCGGAUUGCUAGGUUGACACUGAGGGCUGAGCUAUCUUUCAUUUAUUUAUUCUUCAUGCUGAAUAUCAGAACUUUUCUGAUCCUGAUUUCUGUAUCAUUUUUUGGUUGUUGUUUAUUUUUUUGGUACCAGGGAUUGAACUCAGGACCUUGCACCUGCAAGGCAGGGGCAGUGCCACUGAGCUAAAUAGCCGGCUGUGUUUGGUGGGUUUUGUGUUUUUUUUUUUUUUGGUACCAGGGAUCAAACUCAGAUCCUUGCACUUCCAAGGCAGGUGGAAGAUCCACUGAGGUAAAUCCCUGGCCCUUGGUUGGUUUUUACUAACCUCCCACAGGUUGUCCCUAAGGCUGGUUAUAUACAUGUCUGUGCCCUUCUUUCUUAUUUUUAAAUUUAUUUUCACAGUACUAGGGAUUGAACACAGGGAGUGAGAAGCUAUGUCCUCAGCCUUUUUAAACUUUAUUUUGACACAGGACCUCACUAAAUUCCCCAGGGUGGACUUUCACUUAUCAUCCUCCUGCCACAGCCUCCUGGCUAGCUGGGAUCACAGGCCUGUACCACCGCACCUGCCACCUUCCU
rnacentral:lncRNA from 1 species